rnacentral:snoRNA from 1 species
UUGCACAGUGAAUACCCAAGUAAACUUCAUAGUUCCCUCAAUGUAACUCUGCUAGAAUAAUUUUGUGCUAUAACUCUGUAUUGGAAGGAAUCCUUUUCCUUUCACCCUACAUUCAUAAGACCUAUAUGCCU